UCCACUUCUAUGCUUAUAUAUUUGUUGACAAAUAUUGCAUUGCACCUCAAUAUCUGAUAUACGUUCAAAAAAUUGUCAUGCAAUACUAGUUCUUUUACGAGGUUUUGGGGCACUGGGAGGACGGGAAGGGAGAUUAACUGAUUCAGAUCUAACGUUAGCAUCUCCUACUGCGGGUGUCUCAGCAAUAUUUUCAUUAUCUUCGUCUAAAUUAACCGCAUCUACUUCAUUUUCUUCUUCUAUACCGUAAUUUUUCUGAGCUUCUACAUAAUCCAUAUCGUGAGCACCUACACCUAUUUCUUCCUCAAAAGGUGUACCAAGCGGUACCGGAAGCGAAGGCACACGGGUAUAUCUACUACUUGAACUACCUCUACCGCUAGUAAUUCGCUUUUUACUACCACUACCUCUUUCGGGAUAAAAAAUUUUAACACCUUUAUUAGCGAGGUUUCUUAAUUUAUC
rnacentral:lncRNA from 1 species